rnacentral:lncRNA from 1 species
AAGCAUCCCACACAGGAGCGGGAAGUGAGGCCAUUCCCACCUGAGCGGUGUGCCUGAGGGAGAGGGGUUGUGUAACGGACAGCGUCUCAUGCACAAAAGUCAAUAGUUGUGUUGUAAUCAGGAUCACAGCAGGUGAGGUUCCAGAAUCAAAUGUUGUGCAAGCACCUAGGAGCCUUGUAAAUAGAGGCUCCUUCCACCUGCAGCAGCCUCGCUGGGUCCCAGUCUCGGAGCAGCUCCUCAUCUUCUCCUGCUGCUCAGGGUCCAGCCGGCAUUCACCAUGCGGUGUCUCUGCUUCGUGCUCCUGACCUGCUUCAUCCUCUUUCCUCACUUUGGCCCAGAUUUUUCCUCUCCACAGCCUCCACCCAGCGCAUAGACUCAGAAGAGGAGUGCGAGCGGGUUGGUGCCCAGUGUAAAUGGUUUGCUUGCCCAGAAGAUCAUGAACGUCUUGGUUCCUGUUGGUUUGGGAUAAAGAAAUGCUGUCUGCGUGGAUGGUGGGCUGAAGGACAUGGGUGGACAAGGAGCCCAGAGAUUUAAAUAAAGGGCUGACUAUAACUCUGAAAGUGCUGUGAUAUUAUUUCCUGAAAAUAAAGAAACAACCCAUGCUGCAUUUAAGAAAGUGA